rnacentral:snRNA from 1 species
AAACUUACCUGACAGCGGAAACACCACAGUCACGUAGGUAGUUUUCCCAGGCCACGGCUUCUCCAUUGCACUUGAGAGGUGCUAAUACCUUUGAUUUCCCCGAAUGUGGGAAACAAGGCUGCAUGAUUUGUGGUAGUAGGGAUUGCGUUAGCGCGCUCCCCA